GACUUCUAACUUUAGAGGCCCGUCUAUCCGCAAUAGACUCCUUAACGCUCGCCCUCUACACAAAUAUUGCGUCUGACGCAACUAGUGCAGGUGGAAAAACAACAACUGCAAGUCGAUUUGUCACUCAACAACCAUCCCUACCCGCUGCAUCGAGAACUGCACAGUAAGCAAGUGGAUUUAGAGAGCACUUACAGAACAGAAGAGCCAGUUGCACGCAAAUAAAACGAGGUUCCAUUCGUUUCCCACCUUCUAGUCGGUGGUCCCUAUGCCAAUCGGGUCAAGCUACAGGAAAUGGAGCUCCGUAAAUACGGGGCCAAUCCACAUCCUGGGCUACUGGCUUCCAAGCGUCAACAGUCGGACUCAGCGAGGGUUAGAGUCAAAAUGCAUGAUGGCCCCACACAAAGGGUGUAUUCUUCAGGCUGUGGCUUAUCCAUAAGAAUAGAUAGAAAAGGUCGAUAUCUCAGAAAGCGCACGGAGAUGCUGAAGGCGUGAAGACAUUUUAAUGUCUUCAUUAUAAUGUCUUCUUCAUUUUAAUAGUAUUAAAAUAUUAUUCACCAAACAACCAAAA